UCUAAAAUAUGAAUUAUUUAGAAUAUUAUAUGAAUUCUAAUAGUUUUUCAGAGUUUAUCGAGAUUUAUAUUUUAAAUUAUAUGCGUUAUCUAUUAAUUUUAUACAUUUCAAUUAUCUAAAUUUAAACAUAUCUACCUCCAUUGUAAACGGUUAUCUUACUAAUUAAUAUAUUUAAUAUUUUUUUCUGUAAUGAUUAGUUUUUAAAAAUAUCUGUUAAUGAAAACUAAAAACAGCAUCAAUCUACGAGUUUCUUUGUCUGUUUCUGAAAUACAGAAAAUAUAAAAUUAAAUGUAUGAAUCAGCCAUAUUAUCCACAAAUGUUUUUAGAAGAAAGACGUAAGAUACUGAUUCAACAAAGAAGCAAAUCAUACAAACAAUAAAUACAAUAGAUUCGCAAAGAAGUAAAUUAUACUGAUUCAACAACGAUGCAUAACUGUUUCAACAACGGUAAAUGUAACUGAUUCAAUAAUUUAGCUGUACACUAAACUCGUAAACAUUUAUGCAUUUUCACAAUAGCUUUGAUCAAGAUAUGCAAUUUCACUAUACUUGCAAUUGUCAAUCGUUUUAGGUAAGCGUUUUAAAUAUAGCCGCCGCAAUAUGAAAAUCCUUAUAAGCUGAUGGGUGGCUAGGUGAUUCAGAAAUCAGGAACCGAUCGCAGAGUCCAACUUCUGAGAUUCGAGGUUCGAACCCACAGACGCGUGCCAUCUUUUAAAGUGUAGGAAGGAGACUACGCCUAUUGCUCAGUGAAAGGAGUCAUGAACUAAAAA
rnacentral:misc_RNA from 1 species